UCCAGUUCGAAUCUGGGUGUYGCC
rnacentral:tRNA from 2 species